UACCCAGGAAGAUGAAUCUCUGCCUUCUG
rnacentral:piRNA from 1 species